UUUGAGCACAAAUGCAUUGUUAGUGAAAAUGCGUAUAAGAUCCAGAAACAGCCACCACACCAAGAUUAGACUUCAAGGCGUCAGAAUGAUUAGAGGUAUUUCAAACCUACGCACUUUGGUCGUUUUGACCACAUUUACGUUUUUUCUCUUCGUGGCAGAAGAGCCAGUCUUUGCUUCGAACCCCUACAAACGAUCUCAACAAACCACUACACGCCGCACCACCACAAUCUCUCCAUAUCAGAGCAGAAAAUUAGGCGCUCAAGCUCGCGGUGUUGGUCGACCACGACUGGGUGGCACUUCAACUUACCCCGGCUAACGGGCACAAGGAUUGUUUCAUGAACGAUGUCGCAAAACCACGACUGGGACGAGGGUAAUACCUGAAUGUCAUGUAGUCAGUGAUAUUUGUUUGGUCAUUACGGUGCUUUAUACAAGUUCCCUGUUGGCUUCAACGCAAUAAACCUUUAUUUUUAUGA